CCCUUAGAUGUUCUGGGCCGCACGCGCGCUACACUGACGGAUUCAACGAGCUUACAACCUUGGCCGAAAGGUCUGGGUAAUCUCCAAAAUCCGUCGUGAUGGGGAUAGAUUAUUGCAAUUAUUAAUCUUCAACGAGGAAUGCCUAGUAAGCGCAAGUCAUCAGCUUGCGUUGAUUACGUCCCUGCCCUUUGUACACACCGCCCGUCGCUCCUACCGAUUGAAUGGUCCGGUGAAGCGUUUGGACUAUGGUUUUCUGAUGGUCCGCCGUUGGAUUACCGUGGGAAGUUCGUUAAACCUUAUCAUUUAGAGGAAGGAGAUGUCGUAACA
rnacentral:rRNA from 1 species